rnacentral:misc_RNA from 1 species
CCCCCCAUUAUUAUUUUUUUUAAAUUAAAAAAAAAUUUUUUGCUAUAUUAAAGGAUUUCUUUUUUCUAAAUUCAACCAUGUAUAUUACAGUUAUGUUACGAAAUAUCUUUUUUGAGAAUUAAUUAUAAAGAUUUCUUAUAUAAGCUAUCCGUGCUUAUAUGCGCUUUGUAUUAUAAUUUAAAAACAAUUUAACAAAUUGCACAUACAUUUUAAUUGAAAACACGUGAUUUAUACUUAUCUUGAAUAUACAUGUAAGUCUAAUAAGAGAUAAAGAUUAAUUAAAUUGAAAACAUAUUAAUUGAAAACAUUUAAUUCAUCACGUUCUUGAUACGUGACUUUUAGUUCAUUAUAUAUAUAAAAGAAAACGUACAAAAAUUAUUGCUAUAUAUAUAUAUAUAUAAUAAACUAAAAGUCACGUAUCCCUCAUAUCAAGAACGUGAUGAAUUACAUGUUUCAAUUAAAAUGUUUUCAUCAAAUAUAAUUAAUCUUUAUCUCUUAUUAGGCUAACGUGUACACUCAAGAUAAGUAUAAAUUGACAGUAUAAAUAUAGUCAUGUAGCAGUCUUACGUUCAAUCAGUGCAAUCGUUUUGUAAUAAUCAUAUGUGUGCAAUUUGUUAAAUUGAUUUUAAAUUAUAAUACAAAGCAAAGUUUAACAUCUUUACAAAUGAUUCUCAAUCCGCUUAAUGUUGUUAGACUUUUAUUGGCAUCUAUAAGUUCAAUAUAUCUAACAAAAACGCCAGUAACUGAAGCAGAAAUACAAUUAAAAGAAGACAUACAAAAAUUAUUGCUAGAUAGCAUUUUUCACUAUAAUGGAUUGGAAGUGAUGGAAGAAACCUACCUCGAUUAUCAAGAACCUUAUAAAUUACACAGUUUCGAAAUAAUUGAAGAUGACGAAGAAGCAUGGAGUGAAGAUAAUUUAAAUUCUCAUCUACAGUGUUCAAACAGUGAAGUAAAUUUUUACAGUACUUAUAAAAGACGAGCUGUUGAAUAUUGGCGGAAUUUAGACGAUAAUAAAGAAAUUAACCACAAAAAAAAGGCAUCGUUCUCUAAAAUCAGUACAAAGUAAAUUUAAAAGAGUUUCAUCUGAACGUCAGUUAAGACGAUGGGAAGAACAACUACAAUCAACUGGAAAUCGUUUGGAAAAAUUAUCUUAUAUCUCCAAAUUUACACAUGAUAAAUUUACUGCAGCUAUUGAAUCAGGAUUUAUGGUUCAUGAUAUCGAUUUAAAAAGAUGGGCUUUACAAGCUCAAGAAGAAAUAGGAAAUGUAAUUCCUAUAUUUAAAGCAUCUCACAGCUGGAUAUCAAGAUUUAAAAAAUUCCAUCGAAUUGUUUCAAGAAAAGUUACGAAGUUUGUAACUAAAAGAACAGUGGAAGAUUCUAUUGAUUUACAAAACUCAGCAAAUAAUUUUUUAAAAACAGUGAAACCACUUAUUGAACAGUUUGGAGCAGAAAAUGUUUAUAAUUCUGAUCAAAGUGGUUUUUAAUUAGAAAUACAUUUUGGAAGAUCAUUGUCUCCUAAAGGAAUAAAAAAAGUAGGGCGUAUCGUACAAUCUGUGUCAUCAACAACCCAUUCAUACACGAUACAACCAAUAAUAUCAUGUAAUGGUAAUUUGCUGUCACCUUUAUUUAUUGUUUUGAAAGAAGCUAACGGCGAAUUUGGACCGAGAGUACAAGAAACUUUAUUUAAACUAACAAAUGUUAUUGUAAAAGCAUCGAAAUCUGGUAAAAUGACAUCAGGUAAUAUAAAUUUCCUUUUAUAAGGUUUUAGAUUUUUAAAUAUUGAUAAUUAAAAAAAUAUAUAAAUUUGGAUAAACAAUUACAUAAAAUUAUAUAAUAAAAUUAAUCUCUGAUACAUAAUCAAUUAUCAUCUUUAUAAAAUUUUAUAUUAUAGUAGGAAGGAUGGAUAAUGAUUAAAUGUGAGACGGAAUAGGGAUGCGUAAGCAGAAACAUAAGCGGCAUAAGCAGAUGCAUAAGCAGAAGCACAUAAAGAUUUCGUAUAAGCUGAGUCUUUAUUUAAAAUGUGUCAACAAGCCGGGCGCUGGGAACAGACUGACUCUCGCUCCGCGUCUUCGCAUCGUUCGUCUUUCGAACUCGGAAUCGACCGUCCUUGGAGUCAUUGUUUGCUCCAAAAGUUAAAUUAUUAUUUAUCUUAAAUACAAGAGCCUCUAUCACGUACGGCCACCAUGGCCUUAGUCAUGCUUACUACAAUUUGGCCAGCCUGACAACAGGCUGCCUCGGCCGUCCUAAACCUAUUUUGCAUAGGAAGGAUGGAUAAUGAUUAAAUGUGAGACGGAAUAGGGAUGCGUAAGCAGAAACAUAAGCGGCAUAAGCAGAUGCAUAAGCAGAAGCACAUAAAGAUUUCGUAUAAGCUGAGUCUUUAUUUAAAAUGUGUCAACAAGCCGGGCGCUGGGAACAGACUGACUCUCGCUCCGCGUCUUCGCAUCGUUCGUCUUUCGAACUUGGAAUCGACCGUCCUUGGAGUCAUUGUUUGCUCCAAAAGUUAAAUUAUUAUUUAUCUUAAAUACAAGAGCCUCUAUCACAUCAUUUUAAAAUGUGGUUAGAAGCUUAUUUUUCAAACAUUGGUUCUAAUAGCGUUCUUCUUAUCGAUUCAUGGACCGGACAUUGUCCCAAUAUCAUUUCGGAUUUAACACCUCUAGAUAAACAUAUUACUACUAUGAUUAUACCGAAAGGUACUACAGGAAAAAUACAACUAUUAGAUGUUUACGGAUUUAGAAUUUGGAAAAAUUUUGCUAAAAGAUUUUCAGAUAUAGUUUUAUUAUUGGAAUGUGAUAUAAAUUUGCAUGAACGAAAUAAUAUAAUAAAAUUGCAAUCUUUGAUACAUAAUCAAUUGUCAUCCCCGCGAUAUCGUAACUUAUUUAAAUAUUCGUGGUUUAAAAGUGGUUAUACGAACGAAAGACUACAGGAAUUUAAAAAUCCAGUAGAAUUUAGUUUGGAUGAUACUUCAACAACAUGUGAUAUCGAAGGUUGCAAUAAUGUAGCUAUAGUAAAAUGUUCAUGGUGCAAAAAAUCAUUAUGUUUAAAACAUUUCUUCGUUGAGUAUUAUUAUUGCAAUGAGUAUAAUGAGUAAAUGAUACAAUACAAAAUGUAUAAAUUUAUUGUAUAAAUAUUUAAAAACUAUUUUAUUAAUACAUAUUUAGAAAUGAUUGUGAUGAUGUAAAUCACAAUUUUAUUAUGUAAAUAAACAAAAUAUAAAAGCAUAAGACCAAAAA